rnacentral:sRNA from 1 species
GCUGGGCAUGGUGGCGCACACCUGUAAUCCCAGUGGCUCGGGAGGCUGAGGCAGGAGAAUCACAAGUUCAAAGCUAGCCUCAGCAACAGUGAGUCACUAAGCAACUCAGUGAGACCCUGUCUCUA